rnacentral:rRNA from 1 species
AUUUCUUUUUUUUUAUAACUCUCUUGAGGGAAGAUGAAAAUUUAAUUAAUAAUAUAUUUUAUAUUAUUAAUAUAAAUUUUUCGCAUUCCCAGGGCGCUUGUUUCACGCUUUGCGUGUCAAUGCGCACCUAGAGCGUACACGCUGAUACCCGAAAGAUGGUGAAGUAUGCCUGGCCAGGACGAAGCCAGGGGAAACCCUGGUGGAGGUCCGCAGCGAUUCUGACGUGCAAAUCGAUCGUCGGAGCUGGGUAUAGGGGCGAAAGACCAAUCGAACCAUCUAGUAGCUGGUUCCCUCUGAAGUUUCCCUCAGGAUAGCUUGCGCUCGGUUGAGAAGAGUCUCAUCCGGUAGAGCGAAUGAUUAGAGGCAUUGGGGUCGAAACGACCUC